AGUCGAACGAGCUUCCGUUGAAUGACGUGCUUGCACUGAUUUCAACAAUGAAGCGAGUGGCGAACUGGUGAGUAACACGUGGGGAAUCUGCCCAGAAGCAGGGGAUAACACUUGGAAACAGGUGCUAAUACCGUAUAACAACAAAAUCCGCAUGGAUUUUGUUUGAAAGGUGGCUUCGGCUAUCACUUCUGGAUGAUCCCGCGGCGUAUUAGUUAGUUGGUGAGGUAAAGGCCCACCAAGACGAUGAUACGUAGCCGACCUGAGAGGGUAAUCGGCCACAUUGGGACUGAGACACGGCCCAAACUCCUACGGGAGGCAGCAGUAGGGAAUCUUCCACAAUGGACGAAAGUCUGAUGGAGCAAUGCCGCGUGAGUGAAGAAGGGUUUCGGCUCGUAAAACUCUGUUGUUAAAGAAGAACACCUUUGAGAGUAACUGUUCAAGGGUUGACGGUAUUUAACCAGAAAGCCACGGCUAACUACGUGCCAGCAGCCGCGGUAAUACGUAGGUGGCAAGCGUUGUCCGGAUUUAUUGGGCGUAAAGCGAGCGCAGGCGGUUUUUUAAGUCUGAUGUGAAAGCCUUCGGCUUAACCGGAGAAGUGCAUCGGAAACUGGGAGACUUGAGUGCAGAAGAGGACAGUGGAACUCCAUGUGUAGCGGUGGAAUGCGUAGAUAUAUGGAAGAACACCAGUGGCGAAGGCGGCUGUCUAGUCUGUAACUGACGCUGAGGCUCGAAAGCAUGGGUAGCGAACAGGAUUAGAUACCCUGGUAGUCCAUGCCGUAAACGAUGAGUGCUAAGUGUUGGAGGGUUUCCGCCCUUCAGUGCUGCAGCUAACGCAUU
rnacentral:rRNA from 1 species